rnacentral:tRNA from 1 species
GGCCAGUUAGCUCACUCAGUUGAGCAUGGUGCUAAUAACACCAACGUCGCGGGUUCGAUCCCCGUUCAGUCCC